rnacentral:rRNA from 1 species
AUUGAACGCUGGCGGCAGGCCUAACACAUGCAAGUCGAGCGGAUGAAGGGAGCUUGCUCCUGGAUUCAGCGGCGGACGGGUGAGUAAUGCCUAGGAAUCUGCCUGGUAGUGGGGGAUAACGUCCGGAAACGGGCGCUAAUACCGCAUACGUCCUGAGGGAGAAAGUGGGGGAUCUUCGGACCUCACGCUAUCAGAUGAGCCUAGGUCGGAUUAGCUAGUUGGUGGGGUAAAGGCCUACCAAGGCGACGCUCCGUAACUGGUAUGAGAGGAUGAUCAGUCACACUGGAACUGAGACACGGUCCAGACUCCUACGGGAGGCAGCAGUGGGGAAUAUUGGACAAUGGGCGAAAGCCUGAUCCAGCCAUGCCGCGUGUGUGAAGAAGGUCUUCGGAUUGUAAAGCACUUUAAGUUGGGAGGAAGGGCAGUAAGUUAAUACCUUGCUGUUUUGACGUUACCAACAGAAUAAGCACCGGCUAACUUCGUG